rnacentral:lncRNA from 1 species
AUCAAUUAAUUAAUGAACCUGGAAAAAUACUAGAAAUCUGGAUUUUAUCUCUUACGCUUCGAUGCUCGAACACUCCACCACAAGUCGGUUGGAUUUGUUCUUCACAAUUCUCGAUCAGAUAGGAAAGUAAAAACAAGAAAAAAAAAUAUUAUGAUCUAACGUAAGGUUAGAUCCAGUAAAAAUUACACAAUAGUUUCCGGUGUAGAAACUAUCGUGAGAAAGUAAAUUGUAUGCUUCGGAAAUUAAACUAAAAGAAAAAGAAAAAAAAGAAAUAAAUUGCUUGAAAAAUUAGAAUGC